rnacentral:rRNA from 1 species
UGUGCCUACGGGAGGCAGCAGUGGGGAAUAUUGCACAAUGGGCGCAAGCCUGAUGCAGCGACGCCGCGUGAAUGACGAAGGCCUUCGGGUCGUAAGGUUCUUUCGACAGGGAAGAAAAUGCCUAUAAGUAACUGUGUAUGUAUUGACGGUACCUGUAUAAGCAGCCCCGGCUAACUCCGUGCCAGCAGCCGCGGUAAUACGGAGGGGGCGAGCGUUGUUCGGAGUGACUGGGCGUAAAGAGCACGUAGGCGGUGUUGUAAGUCAUUAGUCAAAGACUAGAGCUCAACUUUAGUAAGGCUAGUGAU